CUUAUAGUAACAAAGACAAAUUACCGUCGUAAGAUUUCUUAAAUUAGAUUUUACUUGGUAAAGAUUUUGUACUUCUGCAGGUUGGUAUUCUGAUAUCCAACAGCUGUUAAAAAAAGAAAACCCAAACCCGCGAGAUAUUAAGAAAAGGUGUAUAUUUGAACAAAUAUUUAUUCAACCAACACUACUUAAGUCAGUGAGAACAUCAACCUUGUGUUAACUGUAAUCACAUAACUUUGCUUUGAGCCCACAGGCACAGCAGGGUCUCCAGUCGGGUUGCCGGGAUGUUAAGAAAUGGCUCUAAAGUGCUGAAGUCACAGCUGUGUGAGCUAGUAAAGGUAGGUGGUGAAGUGAGCUAGUAGAGGUAUGUGGUGAAGUGAGCUAGUAGAGGUAUGUGGUGAAGUGAGCUAGUAGAGGUAUGUGGUGAAGUGAGCUAGUAGAGGUAGGUGGUGAAGUGAGCUAGUAAAGGUGGGUGGUGAAGUGAGCUAGUAAAUGUAGGUGGUGAAGUGAGCUAGUAAAGGUAGGUGGUGAAGUGAGCUAGUAGAGGUAGGUGCUGAAGUGAGCAAGCUAGCCUGUAUCAAUAGAAGCAAGUCGUCCUUCGCAGCGUCACUUCGCAGUUCCAGAUGUUGCCGGUGGUUUCUCAUCUGCAAUCACGCCGUUAGUUUCACGUGUGCGCUGUUCCGUCACACGCUGAGCUUCAGGUCGGCAAACUAAAGUUAACGAACACGUCCGCUCUGCUCAAUCAC
ensembl:lncRNA